rnacentral:lncRNA from 1 species
AUGAACAACACACACACAUACACACAGCACUCAAGACUUCUCAAACAUACAGCACACGCACGCACACACAGCACUGUGUCCACACAUAUCCACCAACUUAUAAACGUAAACAAACACAUACCCAACCAUUUCACAGGAAGACAUCUCUCACCAGCUGAUUUUGGUCCAACAGAAGGUCUCCUUCAACAAACACUUUCUCUCUCAUAUACACACACAGCACUGGGAUUGUGUGGGUUAAGCACACCUGCAUGACCAUAAAGGUGUAACUUGGAUGUGUGGCACUGCACACACACACACACAAACACACACAGCUAGUUUACACGCUGGCAAAUCACUAAUGGGCUAAUGACAGUGACAGUUUCUGUUCCAGUGUGGACUCUGUGUGCGUUCGCAGCUUCAUGUCAGUGCUAGGAUCAGAAACCGUUUUACGGGGAAGUGCACUUCCACUGACUGAUGAAGCUAGUACUGUUCUCUCUGGGAAGCAGAUCAGUGAAGAGGACCUGGUCUGCACUGAGCUCAAUGGAGCAAGCUGAGCUAGUACUUUUCUCAAUGGAUUUGGUAAUGACUCCUGGGCAGGAGCAGACACACAGUGGUGUCCAGUCAGUCAGGUUUUUACUGGGGUGAGAACUGCUCACAGUGUAGUGACCUGACUUGGUACUGUAUUUUCUGGAGCACAGAGGUAAUAUAUCCCAUUGAGAUACUCACUACUGUACUUUCUGAGGAACUUUAGGCCUCUCUCAGUGGAGUGUGUCACUUUUGUAUUCGCCUUGUAGGGGCCUGACUUAAUACUCUUCUCAGUGGCCUGUACUGGCCUGAGAGGGACUGUACUUGACUCUGUGGAUCUAGUCAGUACUGUAACCUCUUGAGUAGCCUCAGUUAGUACUGUUCUGAGUGGAGUAGCCUGAGUUAGUACUCUACUUAAAGGAGCAUUUUUUUACUCAGUGCAGCUGAAUAGCAAUACAGACAGUGGAGUCAACACUGUACUUCUUAACAACAAUCAGCACUGUGCUGUACUAGUACAGUCGUUUAUAACUAUUCUUACUGUAGUGAGUUAGUACUGUACUCAGUAGAUUGCUAGUAAUAGCUAAUACACAAACCCAACUUCCACACAACGGCAAUAACAAUAAUAACAGCAGAAAUAUGUCUUCUGCAUGGCCAAAGGUACUUUUUCUCCAAAUACGAAAAUAAACAUGACCCUAUAAGAACA